rnacentral:rRNA from 1 species
GAUGGGCAUGCGAACCAUUAGCUGGUUGGUAGGGUAACGGCCUACCAGGGUUACGAUGUUUAGGGGACCUGAGAGGGUUAUCCCCCACACUGGUACUGAGACACGGACCAGACUCCUACGGGAGGCAGCAGUGAGGAAUAUUGGUCAAUGGGCGCAAGCCUGAACCAGCCAUCCCGCGUGAAGGAAGAAGGCGCUAUGCGUUGUAAACUUCUUUUCCAGGGGGAGAAUUUUCCGGUCGUGACCGGGAUUGACGGUACUCUGGGAAUAAGCAUCGGCUAACUCCGUGCCAGCAGCCGCGGUAAUACGGAGGAUGCGAGCGUUAUCCGGAUUUAUUGGGUUUAAAGGGUGCGUAGGCGGAUCAAUAAGUCAGUGGUGAAAUUCUGCAGCUUAACUGUAGACUUGCCAUUGAUACUGUUGGUCUUGAGUAUGGUCAAGGUAGGCGGAAUGUGUAAUGUAGCGGUGAAAUGCUUAGAUAUUACACAGAACACCGAUUGCGAAGGCAGCUUGCUGGGCCAAUACUGACGCUGAUGCACGAAAGCGUGGGGAUCGAACAGGAUUAGAUACCCUGGUAGUCCACGCCGUAAA